UACGAAGGGGGCUAGCGUUGUUCGGAAUCACUGGGCGUAAAGCGCACGUAGGCGGAUCGUUAAGUCGGGGGUGAAAUCCCAGGGCUCAACCCUGGAACUGCCUUCGAUACUGGCGAUCUUCGAGUCCGGGAGAGGUGAGUGGAACUCCGAGUGUAGAGGUGAAAUUCGUAGAUAUUCGCAGGAACACCAGUGGCGAAGGCGGCUUACUGGUCCAUAACUGACGCUGAGGUGCGAAAGCGUGGGGAGCAAACAGG
rnacentral:rRNA from 1 species